AACGGCCAUACCAUGCUUAAUAUACCGGUUCUCGUUCGAUCACCGAAGUCCAGCAGCAUCAGGCGUGGUUGGUACUUCGGAGGGUGACCACCUGGAACACCGCGUGCCGUU
rnacentral:rRNA from 1 species